AACAGUCCUUUUGUGUGUCAUAAAUCAUCUUUUAUUCGAAUUAAAACAUAUUUCUUCCAUGUAAAUCUCUUUCUUUAUCUAUUUGUUUCUUUGCAAUCAAUCAAAAUGUCCUUUGGUCAGUUUAUAAUAAUUUGCUUGUUUAAAGGCAAAUUCCUUGUAUCCUUUUGUAUCUAACCAUACAAAACAAAACCCAUACCCUCGACAAUAGAUAAUUGACUUCAAAGAACAAUGUCCCAAGCUUCAUCGUGCAAGAAGAAAGAUGAUAAAAGAUUCGUCAUAACACGUCACUAGCAAGGAUAACUUCUUAUUUUUGCCUAUAGUUUUAUAUCGAUCGAUGGAAUGGGUAACAAAAUAAAUAUAAGAAAAGGAUGAAUUAUACAAAUCAGCAGAAUUGACAAAAAGGAUCUUUAUUAUAUUCCAAAAAAUGAUGAUCAUCAACCUAUGCAGGUCACAUUAAAAGAUUAACUCCGAAAAUGUCUUGUAGAAAAAUUCCCCGUGCCUCGAGCGUGCCAGUGCAUAUUUUUGACCCAUUUUUUCUUAAAUAUCAAAAGUAUCAUGAGAUUCAAAAUUUUUUGAUAAUGAUCAACAGCAAUGUGUUACUAGCACGUGGCUUGGGGAUUAAAAAUGUCAAAGGGUUCCGAUCAAAAAAAUUUAAGAUAGGAAAAUAUUUUAAUCUAUUGCAAACCAACCUUUGAUAAAAACACAUUUCUUUUUAUAGAAAUACAGCAAAGUUCUAGAAAUUGAUCAAAAUCUUAGUUUUCAAACGAUAAAGCCGAAGAUCGAUUCAUUGGAGGUUGAUGUUUUUUUAGAGUUGCAAAUAUUGAAAAAGUUUCAAAUAAAAAUUACAAAAAUCUA